AAACAAACGUGACCUUUGCACGAGAACUUGGCUGACGGGAGGUAGUGGUGCGGGCCCCUGUGCCCUCCCGGCCGGCUGCCUGGCAGCACGCGGGAGCGGGGCAGGCUGGGAGGGUGCUCCCGCCGUGAGCUGGUGCUGCACGGGCAGAACGGUCGGGGCGAGGCUGAUCCCAGGCCUCGGGGCACAUUGGUGGGGAGAGCAGGGAAAACAACAGUGGGGGGCUGGGCAGGCCCCCCCAAGAUGGGUUGUUACUUGACGACGAACUUGCAGGACCUUGUGAAAUGUAUAUAGGUAGCCAGGAGACCUUCUGAGGAUUUCAAGUAAAAGGCACUUCCUUCAAUGUAAGCUGAAUUGUAAACACCAAAGAAUGAAUUCAGUCAGAGAUGUCAGCCGUGUGCUGCCCCCUGGAGACAUCUGGAACCUGCUGGGUGACCGGGAUUCUGGGCGGGUGGGAACAGAAAAGCGCUCAGAGGAGUCACUGGGCGUCUGAGGCCAUUUUUCGGAAACUGUGAAGGCCUGUGUUCCCGAAGCUGGUUUUGGAAGUGGAAGUAAGAACCAUUCACGGCUGUUAGAAGCCAUGAUUCAGGGACUGGCAGGCACCGCCAUCUUUUUGCACCGUUUGAUAAACAGGGAAGCAGAUCCUGAUUCGCAGAUCUGACGUGCUCGUGCUUGAGAGCCCAGAGACCCAGUGUCCCCACAGCUGACCCCUCCUGGACGGACACAGCCACCAGGAGGACUGGACGGCCCUCCACACGCAGAGACAGGCCCGCCGCGGUGUCCCCGGUCGUGAAGCGCAGGAGUUCCUUCAGGACGCUGAGGCCACUCGUCAGGUUCACUCCUUGCUCGGCCUCUUCACCGCGAGACCCACCCCCAAAGGCCGGGGCCCCCCGCCCGCCCCGGCCAGUGCGCGGGUCAGGGAGCUUGCUGUCCAAGCCUCCGCUCACAUUGGUGAGAUGUCAGAAGUCGCUUCCUUUGUGAAAGGCCACUUGAAUUUCCUGAGUCAUGCGAUCGCCUGUCUUGCCAAGUCUCAGUACACUCACGCGUCCCAUCCUCAUGACAGGAGGACAGACAUCGCAAGGCCAAAGAGCUAAAAGUUGAGAAAACCAAACUUCUCUCACAAAAUAGUCGAUGGCACUUUCUCCAACCUUUAGGAAAGACUGACUGCUCUACAGAGACUGUGUCUCCGGUCACGAGUGGCGGCGACCUGGUGCUCAAAGAAUGGAGGGGUAAGAAUGGCCCGUGUGCCAGGUGAAUCACAGAAGCACAUUUCAUUCUUCAUACUUUCACUCAGGUUCUAGGCCGUCAAGAUUAGCAAACACCCCAAGAGCAAAUGCAGGCUCCACAGCUGGAGAUUAGUUGUUUCUGGCCUUAGAGGAUGUCUCUUAUUUUUCUGCCGAUGUAUCAUGUAUAUUAAAAAAUCAUUUUAACAAUCUAAACAGCAUUUUAGUUGCUCCAGACUGGGAAAUUUUCUGCAGACAUUUAGUUAAGUAGAUGGGCAGAAACAGAUGUUAGCCCUGGAUUUUAACAGGCACCUUAACCUGAAUCUAAAAUCAAUCUGUGUCUUUCUUCCUCCUUGAACACUUUGCCGAUUUAGGAUUAAGAUACUGGGCAGUAACAGUUUAUAAAUUUGGAGGCAUUUUUAGACAGCUCUAAUUUAAUAAUUCCUACUAGAGGGAGGAAGUGUCAAAGUCUUCGGGAGACUCAAAUAUUGCUGAUACAUCGAGAAUCACCUACACAGAUGCAUCUCCUGGUUCCGUCCACCGCGAGGGCCCAGAGCAGCGACACCCAGUAGCGGAAGGAGCCAGGGACGUCCACUGCCACGUGCCCUCUGAUACGAAACACUGACGAGAACACAGCAUCACGUCUGCGGUGUUCAUGUCCUGAGCUGAGUAAUGAAGCAUCAGACAAACCCCAAAUGAGGGACAUUUUACAAAAUAACUGGCCUGUACUCUUCAGGAACCCAAUUUCAUUAAAGACAAACAAAAGUUUGAAAACCGGUUCCAAGUUAAAGGAAGCCAAUGAGGCACAGCUCAAAGCACUGCUGUGACAAUAAUGCCACUGUAAGGCACAUCACUGGGGGACAGACGGCAUCUGAUGAACUCCACAGGUUACACCAGGGGCUGGCAAACCACAGCCUGUGUGCCCAAACCACCCGCUGCCUGUUUUAUAAAUAAAGUUUUAUUGGAGCGUGA